rnacentral:rRNA from 1 species
CCAGACUCCUACGGGAGGCAGCAGUGGGGAAUAUUGGGCAAUGGGCGCAAGCCUGACCCAGCAAUGCCGCGUGAAGGAAGAAGGCUUUCGGGUUGUAAACUUCUUUGACAGGGGAAGAGCAGAAGACGGUACCCUGAAAACAAGCCACGGCUAACUACGUGCCAGCAGCCGCGGUAAUACGUAGGUGGCAAGCGUUAUCCGGAUUUAUUGGGUGUAAAGGGCGGGUAGGCGGGAGCGCAAGUCAGAUGUGAAAACGCAGGGCUCAACCCUGAGCCUGCAUUUGAAACUGUGUUUCUUGAGUGCUGGAGAGGCAAUCGGAAUUCCGUGUGUAGCGGUGAAAUGCGUAGAUAUACGGAGGAACACCAGUGGCGAAGGCGGAUUGCUGGACAGUAACUGACGCUGAGGCGCGAAAGCGUGGGGAGCAAACAGGAUUAGAUACCCGUGUAAUC